rnacentral:rRNA from 1 species
AACGAACGCUGGCGGCAUGCCUAACACAUGCAAGUCGAACGGGAUCCUAGCUUGCUAGGUGAGAGUGGCGGACGGGUGAGUAACACGUGGGAAUCUGCCUUUUGGUUCGGGAUAACCGCGGGAAACUGCGGCUAAUACCGAAUGCCCUCGAGAGAGGAAAGAUUUAUCGCCAGAAGAGGAGCCCGCGUCCGAUUAGGUAGUUGGUGGGGUAAAGGCCUACCAAGCCGACGAUCGGUAGCUGGUCUGAGAGGAUGAUCAGCCACACUGGGACUGAGAUACGGCCCAGACUCCUACGGGAGGCAGCAGUGGGAAUAUUGGACAAUGGGGGCAACCCUGAACCAGCCAUGCCGCGUGCAGGAAUAAGGCCCUAUGGGUCGUAAACUGCUUUUGAACGGGAAGAAAUCUAUUU